AUUGAACGCUGGCGGCAUGCCUUACACAUGCAAGUCGAACGGUAACAGGUCUUCGGACGCUGACGAGUGGCGAACGGGUGAGUAAUACAUCGGAACGUGCCCAGUCGUGGGGGAUAACUACUCGAAAGAGUAGCUAAUACCGCAUACGAUCUGAGGAUGAAAGCGGGGGACCUUCGGGCCUCGCGCGAUUGGAGCGGCCGAUGGCAGAUUAGGUAGUUGGUGGGAUAAAAGCUUACCAAGCCGACGAUCUGUAGCUGGUCUGAGAGGACGACCAGCCACACUGGGACUGAGACACGGCCCAGACUCCUACGGGAGGCAGCAGUGGGGAAUUUUGGACAAUGGGCGAAAGCCUGAUCCAGCAAUGCCGCGUGCAGGAUGAAGGCCUUCGGGUUGUAAACUGCUUUUGUACGGAACGAAAAAGCUCCUUCUAGUACAGGGGGCCCAUGACGGUACCGUAAGAAUAAGCACCGGCUAACUACGUGCCAGCAGCCGCAGUAA
rnacentral:rRNA from 1 species